rnacentral:rRNA from 1 species
GAUGAACGCUGGCGGCGUGCUUAACACAUGCAAGUCGAACGAACCUUCGGGUUAGUGGCGGACGGGUGAGUAACGCGUGGGAAUCUGCCCUCAGGAGGGGGAUAACGGCUGGAAACGGCCGCUAAUACCCCAUAUGCCGAGAGGUGAAAUGAAUUUCGCCUGAGGAUGAGCCCGCGUCUGAUUAGCUAGUUGGUGGGGUAAAGGCCUACCAAGGCAUCGAUCAGUAGCUGGUCUGAGAGGAUGAUCAGCCACACUGGGACUGAGACACGGCCCAGACUCCUACGGGAGGCAGCAGUGGGGAAUUUUCCGCAAUGGGCGAAAGCCUGACGGAGCAACGCCGCGUGAGGGAUGAAGGCCUGAAAUAGGUUGUAAACUUCUUUUACUGAGUAAUGAAUACUGACAACGCAGUAAAAAAGUAUCGGCUAACUCCGUGCCAGCCGCCGCAGUAACAC